UUUUGCACACGCGGGAGCUCGGAGCACCGGGCUGAGAGGGCGCUGACUGUGUAGUCCCGGGGAGUAUCCCCAGGACCCCUGAGCUGCGCCGACCGCUGAACCUGUUACCGGGUAAUGCCGGCGUAGGGAGUAGGUCUCAUGACCGU
rnacentral:ncRNA from 1 species